CCCCCCCCCCCCAUGAAAGUCCGGCACUUGAUGAUGCUUCAGCACAGGGCAACCAGGCCUCUAGCUCCAGACCCCGGAAAAGUCCAAGACUGAUCAAACAGGCUCAACGUCCAGAAUUGUUGCGAGCAGAAAAUGAAAUUGGUCAAUUGUCUACCUUUUGCUUUCAGAUUUGCAUUAUCGAGAGUUUUUUUUUUUCUGUGGUCUACCUUUAAGCAUUCUUAUGUCAGAAUAACGAAGAAUCUGAUCUGCUUCACUGUAAUUUUAAAUUUAACGCGGCAGUCGGCAGGUGAAGUUUCCUUUAUAUCUGAUCUGCUUUUCGUGUUCUCAAUAUUAUUUUUGGUGUAAUUGUAUGGUUUUGGUUGAAUAGUUAUUGAAUAAAUUUUUUGAUUUUAUUUGGAAUUGAAUGGCAGGCGCGUCGCGCGUGCGUGUUAUACUAGUAUAACUUGUAUGUAAUGCCGCUUUGUCACUCACUCUCUCUGUCUCACCCUCUCUAGCAGCACAUACAUGGCUUCUCAACUAGGUGUUCUAAUGUCAAAGACGUCUUGGGCAUUUCAGCCGAACAUUUUGAGACUCAGCCAAUACAUUAGUAUCAGAGUUGCGACUACCAGGGCAACGAAACCGAAGAAACCAAGGAGUCCUCCGAUCGGGAAGGGAAACAAGCCGCCUCAAACCAAUGCUUGACAACCAUGAACGCUGCUGCCGGUUCAUUAUCAGUUGCUGAAUGGAAGUGAAAUAUGAACAAAUGGUAGAGACACCAACAAUAACAGGAUUAUGCUUCAAAAAAACAAAAAAACAAUAACAAGAUUACAAUAGUAGGCUAGUAGCAGUUGGAAUAAGUCAAAGCUAGCCAACCACUUUAUUCUUAUUCUUAUUGUCUUUUAUUUAAAUCGGAAAUGAUUUAUUUCUGUGUGUA